rnacentral:rRNA from 1 species
AUUACCGAUUAGUUCCUACCGCGGUGCUCUUCAUUGAGUGUCGAGGUCGGCCGACAAGUUUACUUUGAACAAAUUAGAGUGCUUAAAGCAGGCAAAAGUCUGCCUUGAAUAGUGGUGCAUGGAAUAAUAGAAUAGGACCUUGGUUCUAUUUUGCUGGUUUUCUGAAUCCAAGGUAAUGAUCAAUAUGGACAGGCGGGGGCAUUCGUAUUGCGACGUUAGAGGUGAAAUUCUUGGAUCGUCGCAAGACGAACUAGAGCGAAAGCAUUUGCCAAGUAUGUCUUAAUUGAUCAAGAACGAAAGUUAGAGGUUCGAAGGCGAUCAGAUACCGCCCUAGUUCUAACCAUAAACGAUGCCAGCUAGCGAUCCGCCGAUGUUUUUCUCAUGACUCGACGGGCAGCUCCCCGGGAAACCAAAGCUUUUGGGUUCCGGGGGAAGUAUGGUUGCAAAGCUGAAACUUAAAGGAAUUGACGGAAGGGCACCACCAGGAGUGGAGCUUGCGGUUUAAUUUGACUCAACACGGGAAAGACAGAUUGAUAGCUCUUUCUUGAUUCAAUGGGUAGUGGUGCAUGGCCGUCCUUAGUUGGUGGAACGAUUUGUCUGGUUAAUUCCGAUAACGAACGAGACUCUAGCAUACUAACUAGACGCUUGGUAUUUUUGAUGCCCUGAGAUGUUCUGGGCCGCACGCGUGCUACACUGAAGGAAUCAGCGUGUGUCUCCCUAUCUGAAAGGACCGGGUAACCCGCUGAACCUCCUUCGUGCUAGGAAUUGGGGCUUGCAAUUAUUCCC